AUUUAUUAACAUUAUUCAAUAUUAAACAUAAUCAAACUGACAAUAAGUUUAUACACAAAUACGUAUUAUUGUUAUCGUUAUUACUAUGUGCGCAAUAAUACUCAUUUAACAAAUUAAUAUCUGUCGAUUAACUUCCCUAGGAAAGAAAGAGUUUACUUUUGCUCGUUUCAGAUUCUGAGUGCGAGUUGAAGAAAAGAAAUUUUCGACGCUGCACACACUUCAACAUAUUUCUUUGAAAUGUUUAGCUUGUCUGAAAUUGAUAGCGCUUUACGGCUUAUUCCACUAGAAUCCACC